AUUGAACGCUAGCGGGAUGCUUUACACAUGCAAGUCGAACGAGUGGCGGACGGGUGAGUAAUAUAUCGGAACGUGCCCAGUAGCGGGGGAUAACUACUCGCAAGAGUGGCUAUUACCGCCUCCUAUUGGAGCGGCCGUUAUCGGAUGGGCUAGUUGGUGGGGUAAAGGCGCACCCAUGCAACGAUCCGUAGCUGGUUUGCGAGGACGACCAGCCACACUGUGACUGAGACACGGCCCAGACUCCUACUGUAGGCAGCAGUGGGGAAUUGUGGACUAUGGGGGAAACCCUGAUCCAGCCAUCCCGCGUGUAUGAGAAGGCCUGCGGGGUGUAAAGUACUUUUGGCAGAGAAGCGGUAUCUGCAGAAGAAGCACCGGCUAACUACGUGCCAGCAGCCGCGGUAAUAC
rnacentral:rRNA from 1 species